AGAUUAUGAUGUAGGCAUUGAAUAAGAUAAACUUUAAAUCUUCCCCACGCAUUAUAAAAAGAUUCUCCCACCUUUUGAGUGAAGUUGCAAAUUCUGGCUCUAUAAUC
rfam:Ricinus communis cultivar Hale ctg_1100012361202, whole genome shotgun sequence.